UACGGCGGGGGCUAGCGUUGUUCGGAAUUACUGGGCGUAAAGCGCACGUAGGCGGCUUUGUAAGUUAGAGGUGAAAGCCCGGGGCUCAACCCCGGAAUUGCCUUUAAGACUGCAUCGCUAGAAUUGUGGAGAGGUGAGUGGAAUUCCGAGUGUAGAGGUGAAAUUCGUAGAUAUUCGGAAGAACACCAGUGGCGAAGGCGACUCACUGGACACAUAUUGACGCUGAGGUGCGAAAGCGUGGGGAGCAAACAGG
rnacentral:rRNA from 1 species